GCAUCUAUAGCUCAGUCGGCAGAGCGCAUCCUUGGUAAGGAUGAGGUCUCCAGUUCGAAUCUGGAUAGAUGCUCCA
rnacentral:tRNA from 1 species